UUUAGUUUGAUUGAUGGGAAUCUACACUGCAACCGCCUAUCACGGCCUUACUAAAAAGACAGUUAGGCUACGUACAUGAUGUAGCCUACGUCAGGGUAGCCGCUCAACAGUUACCGCACAUUUUUGAAAGCUGGAUGAGUUUUUGCCGGCUUACUCACUUCAGUUUGUCAUGGAAAUCUGUAAGUGGUUGAAAAGCCCACCAGCAGUCUCCUCUGUCACAUUAGAUGUGACACCAACGCCUCCUGAUGUUGGAGUUGGAGAAGAAGACCCUGGAUGACAGUCUGAGCCUGAUGUUAGUAGCUCCGCGGAGCCCGACCCGGGGCCUAGCAGGACCUGCUGGUCAA